rnacentral:rRNA from 1 species
UUNNNAAGCUCGUAGUUGAACCUUGGACCUGGCUGAUCUGUCCUCCUAAUCGAGCGCACGGAUUCGGUCGGGUCUUUCCUUCUGGGGAGCCCUAUGCCCUUCACUGGNUGUAGUGGGNAACCAGGACUUUUACCUUGAAAAAAUUAGAGUGUUCAAAGCAGGCCUUUGCUCGAAUACNUUAGCAUGGAAUAAUAGAAUAGGACAUCGGNUCUAUUUUGUUGGUUUCUAGGACCGCUGUAAUGAUGAAUAGGGAUAGUCGGGGG